rnacentral:lncRNA from 1 species
AUCAAAUUUCAAGGUUGCAGAAAACACCAUUUCAGCUACAGUACAUGCCUUAGUUAGCAUGAUGUGAAUACCAGGAUAUGCUACAGCUGGUGAACGGACUUCCUUUUGGGAAUGGUAAAGUGAGUAACCUCUAAUGAUGUGUUUCAAAUGUUAAUGGAAGAUUCAGGAAGAUGAUGAAGAGGAAGAGGGAAAAAAUGGCACAGAAUUAAAAAAAAAAGAAUCCUUUUACCUUUAGCACGGAAACUCCUGACUUUGGUUCAUCAGACAGGCAGCCAAACGUUCAGACUGGAUUUGGCAUUCUUAUCCACCCAGAUCAGCAGAGAUUAACUCCAGACCAACAAUCAAUUAAACAAUACCCCAAGAAGCUGCUAAAGAAGCCAACAGCAAACAGUUCGACUAAAGAACCUCUAAGACCAUCCUCAUCAAUACACUAGGCAAGCCACUAGAAUAUAAACUGAACGCAAACUGCACUCCUUACUAGCACUGAUGGUGUUACCUAUUUUGGGUAAUGAAAUAUCUGCAAGAAAACAAGCAAGGUCAGAAAGCACCAAGGACCCCUCGUGUCAACCCUGAGCUAUAAACAUUCUUUAUUAUAUACCAAGAAAUCACCAAAGAUUGAUUACACUAAAUCUGAUUUUUUUUACUUUUUCCCAAAUUCCCUGUUGUGCAUGCUUGACAGCUGAUUAAGAAGCAAACAAAACAAGUUAAAAUCUGCAAUUAUUUCUGUGUAGUGUUUCAUGCCUCUGGCAAAUGCAGACAACCUUGAGAUUACAGAAAGUACAGUCUAAAUUUCUAAGGAGUGUCUUUCCAAAUGAAGUGAAACGUAUGCACUGUCAUUCACCACCAUAAGGCUGAUGUGGUCAAACUUGAAACGAAUGUAUGUAUAUUGCUUUCAUAUUAAUUAGAGUUUGUUCCUGCAAGCCUGGACUCUCUGAUCUUGAUUGAUAAUUUGAAUAGCCUUGAAAAAGAUUAAUUCCCCCAAGAAUUUUGAUGAUGAGAGCCAAGCAGGUGGUAAAGAAAAGUGCAGAGAUGACCUUAAAGAAAAUAUGCAAUAACUGAUAGUAAAAUCUGAGCUUACCCCAUGAAAAUGGCCCUAUCUUGAUUUUCUUUGGUACAGCAGGGAAAGAAAUAGAAAUGGUGGCAGCUCUUCAAUAUUGUAUUCUCAGAGCUGCUAUCAAUAAAGUAUAAGUCUAGAAAUUUUUGUAAUGUCUG